ACCUGUGACAGAGGAGAAGACUUGAAUUUGUGGAGCUGGGUGUCUUGCCCGGGUCACCCCCAUUUAUCAGUUAAGCCAGCAGAGGUCUAAAGUCCUUCUGACCAGCCUUCUCCUUCAGUGAAAAGUAAAUAAGAGGACAGUGUUAAAUAUACAAGCAUCCCUGCUCCAGACUCUACGGGAAGAAAUGGUACUUUGUAAAGAAUGUACCCGGUGGAUGGAGUCAAGAACAGACAUUGACAAAUCAACAAAGACAACCAACUGCCCUUAAUCCUAUAGCAAGUUUGGGAAAACUGAGGUUUAAAGAUAUAAGUCUCAUGCCCAAGUCCUUCUCUUUAUUAAAUUUUAUUUUAUGUUUAUGUUUAUGUUUAUGAAUGUUUCCCCUGUGUGUGCGUUCAGGUACUGCAUGCAUGCAGUACCUGCAGAGCCCAGAAGAGGGGUAUCUGAUCCCCUGGCGUUAUGGAAGACUGCGACCCGCCAGGUGGGUACUGAACCUGGAUCCUGGGGAGAAGCAGUCAGAGCUCUCCACCUCUGAGCCAUGUUUCCAGCUCCUGAAGUGACUACCAACCUGGGAUCAGGCUUCUUACUUUUGUACAAGUAAUCCUUCAUGAGGAAGAGAGACAAGUCUGGAAUGCGGUGAAGUAAGCAGAGAAGAUUUUAUGGCGUUUCACAAAUUUCUCUUGGCCUCAGAGACGGCAAAAUAAUCGUACAAAGAAACCAAGCCCUUUGCCUGCAGGACAAUACAUGGGUUUUUAUUAAAAGAGGAAUUUAAAUGC